rnacentral:rRNA from 1 species
CGCAUCUGUGCAUGCAGCAUAUCAAUAAGCGGAGGAAAAGAAACUAACAAGGAUUCCCCUAGUAACGGCGAGUGAAGCGGGAAGAGCUCAAAUUUGAAAUCUUAAAGGGUUUCCCUUUACGAAUUGUAGUUUAAAGAAGUGUUUUCUGUUGAGGUUUUGGUAAAAGUUCUUUGGAAUAGGACAUCAUAGAGGGUGAGAAUCCCGUAUUUGACCUUUACUUUCAACUUUGUGAUACACUUUCAAAGAGUCGGAUUGUUUGGGAAUGCAGUCCAAAAUGGGUGGUAAAUUUCAUCUAAAGCUAAAUAUUGGCGAGAGACCGAUAGCGAACAAGUACCGUGAGGGAAAGAUGAAAAGAACUUUGAAAAGAGAGUUAAACAGUACGUGAAAUUGUCAAAAGGGAAGCGUUUGACACCAGUGUUGUUUUUCUGAAAAUCAAUUAAAGAACUGUUUAUGCUAAGCUGUUUAGACUUUAUCAGCUAACUGUUUAGUUUUGAGCUUUUCCUUAAUGCACUUUUCAGUUAACAAGUCAACAUCAAUUUCUUUUGCUGUAAAAAAGCUUGAGGAAGGUGGCUUGAGAUUCGUCUUAAGUGUUUAUAGCCUCUUGCCUAUGCAGUCGGAGAGAUUGAGGUCUGCAGCGUAGAUCCUUCGGGGCUAAAUGCAUUUGUGCUAAGUUAUAGCAUUUUAUAGACAACUUGUUGACUAUGAUUUGUCUUGUAGCUUACUCGCUUAUGUUAUUUUACCUACGCUUAGGAUGUUGAGUCAUCACACAUCUCU